rfam:Lottia gigantea unplaced genomic scaffold LOTGIsca_169, whole genome shotgun sequence.
AUACUUACCUGGUACAGGAGAAACCUUGAUCAGCAAGGAGGUUCUCCCAGGACGAGGCUUCUGCAUUGCACCUAGCGGAGGCUGACCCCUGCGAUCACCCCUAAUGUGGGUGACUCGAGUACGUAAUUUUUUAGUGUGGGGGACUGCGUUCGCGCUCUCCCCUG